rnacentral:rRNA from 1 species
UACAGAGGUGGCAAGCGUGGUUCGGCCUUCCUUUUCUUCCCUUUCUCUUAUUCUUCCCUUCAAUUCCCUUUUGAAAGCCCCCGGCUCAACCGGGGAACGGCGCGGGAAACUAGCAGGCUUGAGUUCGGGAGAGGGAAGCGGAAUUCCGGGUGUAGCGGUGAAAUGCGCAGAUAUCCGGAGGAACACCGGUGGCGAAGGCGGCUUCCUGGACCGACACUGACGCUGAGGCGCGAAAGCUAGGGGAGCAAACGGG